CUCCCUCUCCUCAUCUCUCUCUCUCUCUCUCUCUCUCUCUCUCUCUCUCUGGCUACAUGCUCCAAGAAGAAGUAUGAUUGCUUUAAUCUAGGUUGGUUUGUCUACUUUCUCCCUCUUCGUUCCAGUAACCCUCUCACUCAUGGUUUGUAUCAAUUCCUAAAUGCCAAUUUGUUUUUUCUUUAAAUGUUUCUUGAUUAAUUUUUCUGUAUUUGUUCUGAAAAAAUGGGUAUAAUGUUGUUGGUUCAUUGUAUCUAGUUCACGAUUUUGAUAAAUUUUCAACCAUCUUAAGUAAGGUAA